GGCGGGUUGCCCGAGUGGCUGAAAGGGGCUGCCUUGAAAGCAGCCAGGCCUAACCGCCUCGAGAGUUCGAAUCUCUCACCCGCCGCCA
rnacentral:tRNA from 1 species